AACGAACGCUGGCGGCAUGCCUAACACAUGCAAGUCGAACGAGACCUUCGGGUCUAGUGGCGAACGGGUGCGUAACGCGUGGGAACCUUCCCUUAGGUUCGGAAUAACUCCCCGAAAGGGGUGCUAAUACCGGAUAAUGUCUUCGGCCCAAAGAUUUAUCGCCUUUGGAUGGGCCCGCGUUGGAUUAGCUAGUUGGUAGGGUAAAAGCCUACCAAGGCGACGAUCCAUAGCUGGUCUGGGAGGAUGACCAGCCACACUGGGACUGUGACACGGCCCAGACUCCUACGGGAGGCAGCAGUGGGGAAUAUUGGACGAUGGGCGAAAGCCUGAUCCAGCAAGGCCGCGUGAGUGAUGAAGGACUUAGGGUUGUAAAGCUCUUUUAACCGGGAUGAUAAUGACAGUACCGGGAGAAUAAGCGCCGGCUAACUCCGUG
rnacentral:rRNA from 1 species